rnacentral:ncRNA from 1 species
CCCUCGGAGUGUUAAAGCAAACGAAAGUAGUUUAUUCCUUGUGAAGAACGAAAUCGGACACGUUGAACAGGGAA